rnacentral:rRNA from 1 species
AGCAGCCGCGGUAAUUCCAGCUCCAAUAGCGUAUAUUAAAGUUGUUGCAGUUAAAAAGCUCGUAGUUGAAUUUCGGGACCAAUUUGUUGGUCGUGCCUCGGUACGUACUGGUAUUAUUGGUUUCUCCCUUCUGAAGAACCUCGAUGCCAUUAAUUUGGUGUCGUGGGGAAUCAGGACUGUUACUUUGAAAAAAUUAGAGUGUUUAAAGCAAGCAUACGCUUGAAUACAUUAGCAUGGAAUAAUGAAAUAGGACGUUUGAUUCUAUUUUGUUGGUUUCUAGGAUCGACGUAAUGAUUAAUAGGGAUAGUUGGGGGCAUUAGUAUUCAAUUGUCAGAGGUGAAAUUCUUGGAUUUAUUGAAGACUAACUACUGCGAAAGCAUUUGCCAAGGAUGUUUUCAUUAAUCAAGAACGAAAGUUAGGGGAUCGAAGACGAUCAGAUACCGUCGUAGUCUUAACCAUAAACUAUGCCGACUAGGGAUCGGAUGAUGUUAAUUUUUAAUGUACUCAUUCGGCGCCUUAC